GGAGAUGACAUGGUUUGUGAUGAUCCGGA
rnacentral:piRNA from 1 species